CACGUUGAAACACCAAUUCCCGUACGAUCACAGAAGUUAAGCAACGUUAAGCCUGGUCAAUACAUAGAUGGAUGACCGCUUGGGAAUACCAGGUAUUGUAAG